GAUGAACGCUGGCGGCGUGCUUAACACAUGCAAGUCGAACGGAAAGGCCCAAGCUUGCUUGGGUACUCGAGUGGCGAACGGGUGAGUAACACGUGGGUGAUCUGCCCUGCACUUCGGGAUAAGCCUGGGAAACUGGGUCUAAUACCGGAUAGGACGAUGGUUUGGAUGCCAUUGUGGAAAGUUUUUUCGGUGUGGGAUGAGCUCGCGGCCUAUCAGCUUGUUGGUGGGGUAAUGGCCUACCAAGGCGUCGACGGGUAGCCGGCCUGAGAGGGUGUACGGCCACUUUGGGACUGAGAUACGGCCCAGACUCCUACGGGAGGCAGCAGUGGGGAAUAUUGCACAAUGGGCGCAAGCCUGAUGCAGCGACGCCGCGUGGGGGAUGACGGCCUUCGGGUUGUAAACUCCUUUCGCUAGGGACGAAGCGUUUUUGUGACGGUACCUGGAGAAGAAGCACCGGCUAACUACGUG
rnacentral:rRNA from 1 species